UUUUGCCAAAGUCUGCAUUUAAGCCUAUAGAAAAUUUGUGCUUCAUUGAACAUAAGAAUUUGUGGUUCGCUGCAAUCCACAAAAUUGACAAAAGUUGGUAACCACAAAUAACAAUGAAUUGACAUUUUUGAUUUAGUGAUGACAAUAUUAGUCUGAGAAAACCUUUAUGAGGUAUUUAUACAUGUAGUCAGAUUUCUGAAAGGAGUAGGGGCAAUAAGGCUCUUAUUUGGCCCAAAUAUUACUG
rnacentral:lncRNA from 1 species